rnacentral:rRNA from 1 species
GACGAACGCUGGCGGCGUGCUUAACACAUGCAAGUCGAACGGUGAAGGGGCCUGCUUUUGUGGGUCCUGGAUGAGUGGCGAACGGGUGAGUAACACGUGAGUAACCUGCCCCCUUCUUCUGGAUAACCGCAUGAAAGUGUGGCUAAUACGGGAUAUUCUGGGUCUGUCGCAUGGUGGGCCUGGGAAAGAUUGCGCUUUUUGGUGUUUUUGGUGGGGGAUGGGCUCGCGGUCUAUCAGCUUGUUGGUGGGGUGAUGGCCUACCAAGGCGGUGACGGGUAGCCGGCCUGAGAGGGUGGACGGUCACACUGGGACUGAGACACGGCCCAGACUCCUACGGGAGGCAGCAGUGGGGAAUAUUGCACAAUGGGCGCAAGCCUGAUGCAGCGACGCCGCGUGAGGGAUGGAGGCCUUCGGGUUGUGAACCUCUUUCGCCAGUGAAGCAGGCCUGCUCCUUUUUUGUGGGUGGGU